rnacentral:rRNA from 1 species
AUUGAACGCUGGCGGCAUGCUUUACACAUGCAAGUCGAACGGCAGCGCGGGCUUCGGCCUGGCGGCGAGUGGCGAACGGGUGAGUAAUACAUCGGAACGUGCUCAGUAGUGGGGGAUAGCUCGGCGAAAGCCGGAUUAAUACCGCAUACGACCUGAGGGUGAAAGCGGGGGAUCUUCGGACCUCGCGCUAUUGUAGCGGCCGAUGGCAGAUUAGCUAGUUGGUGGGGUAAAGGCCUACCAAGGCGACGAUCUGUAGCUGGUCUGAGAGGACGACCAGCCACACUGGGACUGAGCCACGGCCCAGACUCCUACGGGAGGCAGCAGUGGGGAAUUUUGGACAAUGGGCGAAAGCCUGAUACAGCAAUGCCGCGUGUGUGAUGAAGGCCUUCGGGUUGUAAAGCACUUUUGGCGGGAACGAAAAGGACUGUGCCAAUACCACGGUUCGAUGACGGUACCCGCAGAAUAAGCACCGGCUAACUACGUG